UACGGAGGGUGCAAGCGUUAUCCGGAUUUACUGGGUUUAAAGGGUGCGUAGGUGGGUUUGUAAGUCAGUGGUGAAAUCUUCGAGCUUAACUCGGAAACUGCCAUUGAUACUAUAGGUCUUGAAUUAUCUGGAGGUGAGCGGAAUAUGUCAUGUAGCGGUGAAAUGCUUAGAUAUGACAUAGAACACCAAUUGCGAAGGCAGCUCACUACGGAUAUAUUGACACUGAGGCACGAAAUCGUGGGUAUCAAACAGG
rnacentral:rRNA from 1 species